AUUGAACGCUGGCGGCAGGCCUAACACAUGCAAGUCGAGCGGAUGAAGGGAGCUUGCUCCUGGAUUCAGCGGCGGACGGGUGAGUAAUGCCUAGGAAUCUGCCUGGUAGUGGGGGAUAACGUCCGGAAACGGGCGCUAAUACCGCAUACGUCCUGAGGGAGAAAGUGGGGGGUCUUCGGACCUCACGCUAUCAGAUGAGCCUAGGUCGGAUUAGCUAGUUGGUGGGGUAAAGGCCUACCAAGGCGACGAUCCGUAAAUCGUCUGAGUGGCUGAUAACUCACAUUAGAGCUGGACCGCGGACAAUGCGCCUGCGGUAGGGAGCAGAGUCCAACAUUGGACAGUAGGGGAGAGUAUGGUACAGUCGUGCGACGUGUGAUGAAGAGGUCUUGCGAGUGUAAAGAACGUUAUGGUGGUGGAAACGGCAGUAAGUUGUUACCUAGCUGGAUUGACGUUAAUAGCAGAAUAAGCACCGGCUAACUUCGUG
rnacentral:rRNA from 1 species